AUUAAAAAAAAAAAUGCAUAGAUUUUACUAUUUGCAUCAAAAAAUUCAUUUUCUGCUAAACAAUUGUUCUAAUAAGCUUUUAAUAUAAGUUUUAAUAAAUAAAACCAACCCAGUGCUAAAAGUUCAUAUAACAUAUAACUAAAGCGUAUAAGACGAAAAUCACUUUGUUCUUUGUCCUUUAUACAAAAUGUACAAAAUCAAUAUCUGAACUUAAAAGCUUAUGUUUACAAAGUAUAUCUAUAAGAUCUGUAUAUGUAUAUAAUAUGGAGCGAACAUCCAGAGAGUGUCAAAAACAUAUUUCUGUGUGAUUCCAAAUAUAUUCCAAUCGAUAACAACUAUACAUAAUAUUAAAAAGGUCCUCUCCUAUUUCCAAUCACAACAAUUUGAAAAGAACCACCGAAAAAUGUAAACGCGACUAUAAUAUCAGUGGUUAGAUACUUUGUAUAUUCUGGUGAAUAAUUUCGUAAUUUAAAGUCUCUAAUAUUCGAUAAAUGUUCCCUG